rnacentral:rRNA from 1 species
GGGCUGCAGUAUUUUGACUGUACAAAGGUAGCAUAAUCAAUAGUCUCUUAAUUGGUGACUUGUAUGAAAGAUUGGAUGAGAUAUAUACUGUCUCUAAUUAAUUUAUAGAAUUUAAUUUUUUAGUAAAAAAGCUAAAAUAAGUUUAAAAGACGAGAAGACCCUAUAGAGUUUAAUAAUUUAUUUAAUUAUUAUUAAUAUAUAAUUUUUAAAAUUAAAAUUAAAUAGAUUAUUUUGUUGGGGUGAUAGAAAAAUUAAAUUAACUUUUUUUUGUUAUUUACAUUAAUUUAUGAUUAAGUGAUCCAUUUAUAAUGAUUAAAAGAAAAAAUUACCUUAGGGAUAACAGCGUAAUUUUUUUUUUUAGCUCAAAUAGGAAAAAAAGUUUGCGACCUCGAUGUUGGAUUAA